rnacentral:rRNA from 1 species
UGGGGAAUUUUGCACAAUGGGGGAAACCCUGAUGCAGCGACGCCGCGUGAUUUAGAAGGCCUUCGGGUUGUAAAAAUCUUUUCUAUGGGAUGAAAAUGACAGUACCAUAGGAAUAAGGACCGGCUAAUUACGUGCCAGCAGCCGCGGUAAUACGUAAGGUCCGAGCGUUGUCCGGAAUCAUUGGGCGUAAAGGGUACGUAGGCGGGUAAGCAAGUUAGAAGUGAAAUCCUAUAGCUCAACUAUAGUAAGCUUUUAAAACUGCUCAUCUUGAGGUAUGGAAGGGAAAGUGGAAUUCCUAGUGUAGCGGUGAAAUGCGCAGAUAUUAGGAGGAAUACCGGUGGCGAAGGCGACUUUCUGGCCAUAACCUGACGCUGAGGUACGAAAGCGUGGGUAGCAAACAGG